AACAAUUUCACUUUUAUCUGCAGCAACAAGUACCAGGGAAAUCAAGAUAAAACAAGCGAUUAGAAAGGUUUGCUGUGUGUAGUUCAUUAAGUGAUACGUGCUGGGCGCAGUUUCAAAGAACAGAGUUUGUUUGCUUCUGUCAGUCUCCAGGCAGAGAGAUGACCUCACCCAAGUACAUUUCACAGGAUGUAGAAGCUACAGCCAAAUUCAGAGUAGGAAUGUCCUUUUUUGUGCGAUUUUUCCACUGCUUCAUAAUUUCUUUACAUAGCACCAGCCUUGAUCUAGUGGUAACACACUUGCCUUUGGAAGAGAAGGUCGUGGGUUCAAGGCUCACUUAAGGUCUUAAGCAUGUAAGUCCGUUAAUACAUCAGUGCCUGAAGGAUGCUCACGCUACCUGGUAUGCUAUCUAUUGGAAGAGAUGUCAAACUGCUCUGCAGGGUGGAUGGUAAAAGAGUCAUGGCAUUAUUCAGAGGUGUGCGUUGUACCAAACAUAAACUCUGAGCAUAAUGGUUAACAGAUUUCUGGGGAACGUUUCUUUACAAAAAUGUAAUACAUGGAGUUUUGAGGAGUGAUACGAGAGUGUGACCAGGGUGAUGUUGGUCUCUGAUGAUGCUGGCUGCCUUUUUGAGGCAGUGACGCCAGAUGAUCCCUUCGAUGGUGGGGAGGUCAGUACCUACGAUGGAUUGGACAGUGUUCAUCACUUUUUGCAAUUUUCUUCGAUUGUCUUCCAUCGGGAUUGAGAAAAAGAAGGGAAUGGCCAGUUAUCGACCUACGGCUACCUACGACUACCAUCACGACCUACUACGACCUACCUACAACCUAACCACGAGUACAAAGUAUCAAUUUUUUCCAUGCCGACCUUUUUUUUACCCGUGAACAUUUUUUAUCAAGCUGGAGAAAACGCCAUGACCUACUUGAGGUUACGAGUACGCGGAAACCACUCACGAGCAUGAGGAAGAGUUACAAAGACCUCCUACGACCUCCUACAACCUAGUUGCGACCAUGCUGCGAGUAUGAGUCAAGGGCAAACUCGGCAGAGGUUGCCAAUUAGGUCGUGAAAGUGGGAUAGGGGCUUAAGGCAGCAACUCUACCGUUGCGCCACCAUGCUCCCCUGUGAAUUUUCUUGAGAAUAAGAAGGCACGCAUAUAAGAUAUUCAAAUGUUAGAUUGAAUAUGAGGAAUUAUUUUGCACAGAUUAGAGAAAUGUCUUUGAAAAGGAUUUGAGCCUGGGGUUUGAGACCAAUCAGAGAAACAAAGCUAUAAGAGAGUGUCAAACCAACAUUUAAUUUUAAUUAUAACCUUUAUAUAAAUAUCGGUUCAGAACUGGGCUACCCACAUUAGAUGCCUACAUCAACAGACUUUAUUAAGAGUUACUAAACUGUGAUGAGGAAUGGAAAGAAUGAUUGAUAUGUUUUCUUUAAAAAAUCUCAUUGCAAUGUGAGAGUGGAAAGACCUUCAGCUGAAUCUCUGAUUGAAUUCCACAUAGAAAAGCAUUUACUGACUCAGUCACCAGGGAGCCAAGAUCAAAUUAAACAACUUGUUUAGUUUGUAUCUGUAUGUCAGAGAAAAUUCAUUAUGCAGUAUCUGUGAAUUAGAGUAUAUAUUGAAUUUGGGAUAAGAACAAAGUGACAACCAUGAAGCAUGCAAGAUGUAAUUUUACAUAAUUGGACAUAAUUAGAAAAGUGCUUUGUUAAAAACCUUCUCAGACUUCUGUUACCCUGCUGUUUCCGUACAAGGAAAAUAAAUGAAUGAUUAAAAGAAAUGGCAAUCGUUACUGAUAAAUGCUUUAGACAAUAGCCCAGUGCUGAUCACAAGUGACUGACAGCUGGAGCUCUCAUAUAUUUACAGUAGACAUAAAUCCUACUCAGCUACAGAAAGUCUACCAAUAUUGCUUGUACUUUCUAUACAAGAGUAAAAUAGAGAUUUUUAUUUCUAUGUUUUUCCAGUUUAAAAUCUGGUUGCUUUAUGUUUCUGAAGCAUAAUAAUAUAAAUCAUGAAGUUUAUGCAUUAUUCCUUGAGAAAAGAUUGGAAUAUUUAACAUCUGUGUAUGUAUUUAGCUGUGUUUAUCAAAGUGUCACCUGAGUAAUUUUCAUUCAUUUUUUAGGGGAAACAGAGAAACACAAUUAAGGAAAUAAGUAAGUGGUGGAGCUGCUGCUUUAUAGUACCAGAGACCUGGGUUUGAUCCUGACCUUGGGUACUAUCUGUGCAGAGUUUGUACGUUCUCUCUGUGGCCACAUGGUGCUCUGGUUUCCUCCCACAUUCCAAAGACAAGCAGGUUUGUAGGCAAAUUGGCUUCUGUAAAUUGCCCCUAGUCUGUAGGAUGCGAGUGGGAUAAAAUGGAACUAGUACGGGUGAUCAAUGGUCAGCAGGCACUCAGUGGGAUGAAGGGCCUUGUUUCCACAUUGUAUUUCUAAACUCUAAACUCUAAAAAUAAUUAAAGUACAAUGAACAGCCUGUAAAUUUGUCCACCUGCAAUAGUUUGCUGUUUACAGUUCAGAAGAUCAACAUUCAUAUUUAGGACUAGAAAUUACAUUGUAUGUCACUGCAGCAGAUCUUGCUUCUAUGGAAGCACUUGUAUACAAUAGGUGCUAAGAGCCAUAGAGGUUGCCAGAAACUCAGUUCUGGCUUAUCAUAUUAAUCCCCGACUCAAAUGGUUUUGUUUUCAUUUAUGAAUCUAUGGCAACGUUGUGCCUCUAUCAAUCAAAUGAUUCUGAAACACAUAACCAUUCUCAGGGUGCUAAGAUUUCAAGAAGUGUCAUUUGUCUCAUUUAAAUUCUGUAAAAUUGCUCUUUUAUUCCUUCCUUGGUCUCACUGAUUUUCAAGCAGCCUAUUUUAGCUAGUUGCAUUGUGCAGCUUUGAAUUUGCUGAAGCAAAAAUGGCCAUGCUUCUUUGUGCAAUUUACAUAUACAAGUGGCAUAAUUUUGAUCCGUUCUGAAAUUAAACAUAAUUCAUCUACUAUUUUUUUGUUGAUCAUUCUUACUGCUCAUGCCAGAAGGCUCAUAUAGUUAUGUUUGCUUAGUAACCAGUGAAUAACACAUUAAAAUAUAAAAAGAAGCACUGACUGGUGCAUUGAAUUAGACAUUGACCUUCCAGCUCAGGUCAUGAGUUUAAAUUAGUUCAAAGUAAUGAGAUGAAAGUCUGUAUUGGUUUGUGCAUGUUGUGUUUGAAAUUAGUU